CGGUGGCGGUCAGUUCUCUGAUGUUUUCUUUCUGCUCUGUAACGGUGGCGGUCAGUUCUCUCAGUGCUGCAUGGAUGUCAGGGAUGCCCAGAUUGCAGUAUUGUUGGCUGUCAGUUGAAGCUUCAGCUCUCAAAGUGUCUGUUUGAGGUGGAUUCUGUCUUCCGUCCUCAGAGCUGAUCUGUUGACUGAUCUCAUUCUCAUUGAGUCCUCCAUCUACCUGCUGCUGGACGACAAACACAAAGGUUUCCAACAGCAGCAGUAUACAUACUAAAGCCUUCAUUCUUCACUGAUGUUUGUUUCCAGCUCUUGCUCUGUCAUCCCCACAGCCUCUCAUGUUCCUUUUAUAGUGUCCUGAUUUACUGUCUUUUGUACUUGAUUUACAUUGCUC